rnacentral:tRNA from 1 species
UCCCUGGUGGCUCAGAGGUUAAAGUGUCUGCCUCCAAUGCAGGAGGCCUGGGUUCGAUCCCUGGGUGGGGAA